UCGCGGCCUAUCAGCUUGUUGGUGAGGUAAUGGCUCACCAAGGCGACGACGGGUAGCCGGCCUGAGAGGGCGACCGGCCACACUGGGACUGAGACACGGCCCAGACUCCUACGGGAGGCAGCAGUGGGGAAUAUUGCACAAUGGGCGAAAGCCUGAUGCAGCGACGCCGCGUGAGGGAUGACGGCCUUCGGGUUGUAAACCUCUUUCAGCAGGGAAGAAGCGCAAGUGACGGUACCUGCAGAAGAAGCACCGGCUAACUACGUGCCAGCAGCCGCGGUAAUACGUAGGGUGCGAGCGUUGUCCGGAAUUAUUGGGCGUAAAGAGCUUGUAGGCGGUUUGUCGCGUCUGCAGUGAAAAUCCGGGGCUCAACCCCGGACUUGCUGUGGGUACGGGCAGACUAGAGUUCGGUAGGGGAGACUGGAACUCCUGGUGUAGCGGUGAAAUGCGCAGAUAUCAGGAAGAACACCGGUGGCGAAGGCGGGUCUCUGGGCCGAUACUGACGCUGAGGAGCGAAAGCGUGGGGAGCAAACAGGAUUAGAUUCCCUGGUAGUCCACGCCGUAAACGUUGGGCGCUAGGUGUGGGGAACCUUCCACGUUCUCCGUGCCGUAGCUAACGCAUUAAGCGCCCCGCCUGGGGAGUACGG
rnacentral:rRNA from 1 species